CUGAAAUAGCGUGAGCUAUCUACUGGCUACUCCUUACAAAGACUUGGUGCCGUUUUCCAGCACUGGACAACUUUUUUCCUGUGUAUCCAGGACAAAAUAGUGCCAAACCUUUAUUAUGAAGUUCAGAAGUCUUGAAAAAACCUACCAUACUGCAUGACUUGUAC
rnacentral:lncRNA from 1 species